AUAAAUAGAAAUAUAAAUCAAUUGCUUUCAAAAAGCAAUUGUAAACGGUCUUUCCCCCCUUAGAAACAUGAUUGUUUGUUGUGUGUGUGUGUGUGUGUGUGUGUGUGUGUGUGUGUGUGUGUGUGUGUGUGUGUGUGUGUGUGUGUGUGUGUGUGUGUUUGUUUGUUUGUUUGUUUGUUUGUUUCUGUGAGAGGUCUAUAUUAUUCCGGGGAAGUUUCAUGUUUAGUUUGGAAAGUUUUUAUUUUAUUUUAGGUCCAGCGCGCGCGCCAGAUUGAGGAGACACCACGUGACUUGGGUUUAUAAUAACGAAAACUUAGUCUUUUUAUUUCUCUUUAGGUCGGGAUGUUGAACAGACAACAUGUAUAGAGACGGAAUGUACACAAUGUAAUUUCUUUUGUCAUUGUAGGAGGAAAUUGACAUUUUGAUCACAGUUCACCAGCAGUGCAUGUUUUGGAUUUAAUUGAUCCGGUGGAACUUUAAUACACAUUUAAGGAUUAUUUUCUGAUAAUGUACAUUUUUCAGCACCAGUUUGUAACACAGAUAAGUAUUUCAAUCUAGGAGCGGACAUUUUAUUGUAGGUUUUUACUGAGAUUUACGGACCUAGCAAGCGAUUUUUACAGCAUUGCCAUUUUUUUCUCUAGGAAAAGUCUUGAGAGAUAUCUGCACCACGUUGUUUUAUGAACCUUUAGUACAUGUAUGCCCUGCUGACUGUAAAGUUUGGGGUCGAUUGGACUUGUAGUUUCAGAGUUCAACUGAUAACAAACAUGUGGAUUUUUUUUUCAGAAGAGAUGUAAGAACAAUAUUAAAA
rnacentral:lncRNA from 1 species